rnacentral:ncRNA from 14 species
AUACUUUUGUUGCGCAAUGGUUCGCAAAGGGGUUCCGCAACCCCCUGACCGAUUAAAAGGGAAUGCCGUGAAAAUCGGCAACAGUUCCCUCUGCUGUGAGUUCCUGCCACCCGAAAUGGCACAACAAGUCCUGACAAUCUUUUGCCACUGGCCCCAGUCCGGCCGGGAAGGCGUCUCGACGGGAACGAGUCAGAAGACCUGCCGUUGCAAUGAUUUUACAA